AUGCAGCAGAAGGAGGAUAUUGAAACGGGUUUGGAGGAGUCCGCUCAGCAUUCGCAGACGGUGCAGCGCGUGCAGACUACCAAAAUGAAGGCGGAGGAUUUGCAACAAUACGCCAGCAAUGGGGCACCGUCUGAAGCGAGCUUGACGAAAGCAAGCUGUAAAACAUGGAGUUGGAGUCGAUAGACAAAUUCUUUUCGGCUUAACAAAAGAAUGCGGUAUCGGCUAUUGAUGGCUCCUAUGAGGAUCUGCGAGCAACUGGCGGCAAGCCAGCCAAGCAAGCAAGGUGCUCUCAGAGAUCGAUGGACGCCGGGCCCAGAACUGCACCAUCCUGCUCAGCAAGCUGAAGAUGAGCUAUAUGAAGAUAUCAAAGGCCAUUCUCCCGAUGGACAGCAACAAGAAGCUGAUACUCGACAUGGUCUAGCAGCUGCUAAAGUUCCCGCUCUCGGCGGAGGAGCGUGACUGUUGGAUGAGCAUAGCGAGGAUAUUGAGUCACUUGCCCGCACCGAUCGCUUCCUUUACGAAAUAUCAAAGAUUCCCCACUACGAGCAAAGGCUGAAGAGUUCACUACUGGAACUGCUUUAUGCCGACAUCAGCACUUCAGGGAGCAAUAAGAAUGGAAGUCAGCUGCAACAACAGCACCAACAGCAACACCCUCAAGCUGAACACACGCACGACGUUGGCCUUCCUGGAGAACGGCAUUACCACGGCAUCUCCAACGGGCAUUACCACGGUCACCCUAUCACCGGCAGCCAUCGAGCGGGACGCGGAGGGCAGGCCUUUGCGUCGAGGCUGUGCCCGUCGAGCAGAAGAUCCAGCAGGAGCUGCAGGACCUCAAGUUGCGCGAGACGGAGCUGAAGCGCCUGCACAAGAAUAACAGGAACAACAUACUGAAGGCUUCGCUAGACAAGCUCCAGCUCAGAACAGACGACGAGGCCAAUGCGGACGACGAUGACGAUUAGGACUCUGUGGUGGAGCACUGCUAUGGACCCGGA